rnacentral:rRNA from 2 species
UGGGGAAUAUUGCACAAUGGAGGGAACUCUGAUGCAGCGACGCCGCGUGAACGAAGAAGGCUUUCGAGUCGUAAAGUUCUUUUAUAUGGGAAGAUAAUGACGGUACCAUAAGAAAAAGCCCCGGCUAACUACGUGCCAGCAGCCGCGGUAAUACGUAGGGGGCUAGCGUUGUCCGGAAUCACUGGGCGUAAAGGGUUCGCGGGCGGAAAUGCAAGUCAGGUGUAAAAGGCAGUAGCUUAACUACUGUAAGCAUUUGAAACUGCAUAUCUUGAGAAGAGUAGAGGUAAGUGGAAUUUUUAGUGUAGCGGUGAAAUGCGUAGAUAUUAAAAAGAAUACCGGUGGCGAAGGCGACUUACUGGGCUCAUUCUGACGCUGAGGAACGAAAGCGUGGGUAGCAAACAGG